CAGGUAGACUCCGCCCGGACUCCCACGGGAGCCAGACCUCAUCCUCAACUUUGACUGCAGGUAGACUCCGUCCGGACUCCUGCGGGAGCCGGACCUCAUCCCUGGCUUCGACUACAGGUAGACUCCACCCGAACUCCUAUGGGAGCCAGACUUCAUCCUCGGCUCCGACUGCAGAUAGACUCCAUCUGGACUCCUACGGGAGCCAGACUUCAUCCUCGGCUCUGACUGCAGAUAGACUCCAUCUGGACUCCUACGGGAGCUGAACUUCAUCCCCGGCUUCAACUACAAGCGAACUUCGUCCGGGUUCCUACGGGAGCUGAUCUUCGAGCUUCUACGGCCAGCGGUCCUCGCUUGCCACCUUAAUGCCCAAGGCACUCCACGGGAUUUACAGCAUCCGAGCUCCUCUCAAAUGGGCAGCUAGCCACCUUUCUCUGCCAGACACCUCAACCGAACCUCGGCC
rnacentral:lncRNA from 1 species